AAGUUGAUAAUGAAGUUCACAUAUCUGAACUGGUGGUCGGUCUAAAAACUUCUACAGCAUCUGAAAUCCAGCACAGAGCUGAUAGUGGAUCUGAGAUGUGCCAGAUGACGGCAGAACUGGACUGAAAAUCAGUGGUAACAGGUCUGAUGGAGGGAUGAAUCCUCCUCAGAGCCCAGACCUGAAAAUCAUGAAGAAAUGUGGAAUCAUGUUAACAGAGAUCAGAACAAGAAGCAGCCAGCGUGUUUCUGUAAAUCUCUGCUUUUUUUCUGCCUUUUUUUUCUCUUUUUCCUGGAGUGGCGCCAGACUUUUGCACAGUACUGUCCCCCAAAGUAAGAAUCCACCUUCCAUCCCUGUGAUGGACACACACCAUCAAAUGUUCUUCAUGAUAACUUUUGUAUGUUUAAGAACUCAUUUCUGUGCCACAUGAGUAAACUGUGGAAUUCUCUUCUCUUCUCUUCUUUUCCGGGUGCCGGGGGGUGUCCCGGUGCCCGAGACGUCCUGACUGAGGACAACAUUGUCAAAUACUGAAGUGAGUGCAUCCAGUUUCCAGCUCGGACCGUUAGAGUCUCCAUCCACUGGGACAGUGCCUGAGAUCACCAUCGAAGCCACUUCACUAAUGUCCACCAUCCACCUUCGAUCUCCACCUGAAGCCACCACCAUUGGCUU